GAAAAACUGCAAAGCAAGAUAAAUUGCUUAUCAUGCUUUAACAGUUUAAAGGCUAAGCUCUGGAUAAGUUGUCAGAUCCUUGGCUGUGACAUUGCACUUCUCUAUGCAUCUUCCCAGGGGCUUCUGCUCUUACCCAUCAGCACUCAAAUUCUCAUAUUCUAUAAGAAUACAUUGUGCACAGUCAUUGAUUAUGAUUCAUUCCAGUAACUUCAUUAAAAUGAAUGUUAAUUUUAAUGUAGUCACUGCUUCAAUGAUGUACUCUCUAAAUACAGCCAUGUUCUGAGGUACUGAUGGUUAGAAAGUCAACAUAUGGAUAUGGGAGAAUACCAUUAAGCCUAUGCUAAGACUCUGGCAAACUUCAAAAUGAAAGUGGGAGGCAUCAAAAUACAUGUCAGGAUUGUGGCUGACAAAACAGUGCAAGGCAAUAAGAAAUGAUUUUAGAACCAUCCACCAUACUGUACUCACAAACUAGCGUGGAUACUUACCAAGCAGUUGAAAAUCAUUUGUAGCUUUUCACUCAAACUCAGUAACAAUUUGUUGUUUCCCAGUCGGUGGUAUUUACUGAGUUGGUUGUGGAAAGGGCUUUUAGGAAGUUCCUAAUGCUGCCCUCAUCACUGCUUUCUACAUUCUCACUCUCAUUGUUCUGGGAACCUUGUACUUAGCACAACUGUUCAUCAAAAGGCACACAUGUGUCCUCUCCCCUGAGAUACGGGUACCUCAAAGUCAUCACCCCAGUGUCUAGGUAACAGGAUCCACUGCACACUGCUUGACACCAAGUAUGUGCUAAACCAAUAUUGAAUACUCUGGGACAAUAAAAACACGAUGAGGAUUUGCCACUUUCAGUGUGUAAAUGAAAUUUGUUUUCUUUGGAGUCAAAUAAAAGAAGAGCCACGUAGUAAGGAUUUUAGAAGCUCAUGAGAAAAACACGAAGAGCUCAUUUCAAAGCUCAUUUAAAGCUCGUUUGAAAGCAUUGGGGAAAUCCAGCAUGUAGCAUAUGUAAAAUACUUUGAAGAUGUAGAGUGAUGUAUGUACAUUGGAAAAAAACAACUUGGCAGAGAAGAAAAGACACUGAGUACACAAAACCAGAUGGAGUGUGACAAACAUGAAAAAAAAGUGAAAACUAAGCCAGCCAAAACACAGAUUUUCAGAAACAAUGGGUUUGUUUGGUUGUUAUUUAAAAUGACCAAAGUUUCACCUUUAAUAAGAGAAAAACAAAAAUACUUGUGUCCAUUUAUAAAUUGGAAGGAAGGAAGCUAAUUAAAAUGAUUAUCAACAGUUCUAUGCGUUACACUUUUUCCUGAAAGCACAACUGGAUUGUCUUUGUAAAUGUGGAUAGCCCUGAAAGGCCCCAAGGAAUCUGUAUUUUUGUGAAGCUAGAAGGUAGCCUACUUGUAGGUAGUUUUUUGUGGGCUACUACCCUUGAUAUCAGUAUGUUGCAUUUUUUCCUCCCUCAUGAAACUAUUACAGAAUGCCAACUUUCAUCUGUACAAGUUCGUCAUUAUUGGGCAUGUUUCUUCUUUCAUUUUUAGUCACAUUUUGAAAUAAUUCAAAGGUAGACUUUGUAGGAGAAUUACAUGUUUAAAAUGAAAACCUGGAUGCCAUCUAAAAUGUUCUGCUCAGCUCUGCAUUAGCAAUAAGACAGUAGUGAUGUCAGAAAACAUGCAGGGCAAAGGAAUAUGAAGAAAGAGGUCAACAAGAUGACUACUGAGCAGAUAAAAGUCCUGGCUGAUAAGUUGAGGAUGAUCCCUGGCUUCACAAGAGGCUGCAAUCAAUGAAGACGACAGACAACCAAGGAGAAGUCAGUAAGGCACAGAGUACUUGAGACGGCUAAGAGUGAUUUGGAGAAAAACAACCUAGAAGUCAGAGGGAUGCUUUUGGUUUUCAAUGUGGUUGUCAGAGAAGGCUGUACCUUUGAACAUUUCCAUAAAGGAGAUGAGUUGGGGGCAAGCAAAUGAUACAUUUCUGCUGACAGCUUUCAGUAACCCAACAACAGUGGAACAAGAGACAGCGUUAUGGUAGACGAAACUGGCAAAGGGAGGAAGCAGACGCUGAGGACUGUUGAGGCGUUUUGGACUAUCACAGGAGAGAAGCCAAGUUUCAAGUGGUGGAGUGGUGUGUUCCAAGUUCCUUUCUGAAGGAUCACUAUAGUGGUUUGCAAAGAGGAAGGACGGCUUUGGGUAUCAAACGGGAUGUAGAGAGAAGCCUCCAGUAAUUCAGGCAAACAAGAACUUACGGGCUAGGUCCCUUUCAGUAGACCUGGAAUCCGCCUGCAUCCCUCGCUCUACUCGAACAGCACAUGCUCAGACAGGGAACCGACCCCAAGAUAAGGCUUGAGAUAUACUGGGUACCAUCAGAUGACCAUGCUUCCACAGAACCACCAAGCCAGGGCAAAUUUCAGGAAUAACUUCAGGAGUUGCAGAGUAAAGCUGAUGGAAAAGGGCCUCUUCAUGGACUAUUCUAGAACAAACCAGGAAAAGGGAACACAGGAAAGAAUGAACGGUAUGGAUCAUACCUGAUCCAGGUGAUUUGGAUGUACAGUUACAUGGACUCCAGGAGUCUUUUCUCAAGAGAAAAAUGAUCACUCUUGGGGUAGAAUUGCCUCACCUGAAGUGGGGGAGGGGAGGUUGAAGGUAUUUCUUCUCUUCUCCGAGUCAAGAACUGAUGACCUAGACAAACACCUUGACCAAAACAGGUCACUUGGUACUUUAAAUUAUAUGAUUUAUACAAACUCUUACAAGACUUGCAGCUGUUCUUUUGGGUGCUUUUGGAAGAGGUUUCUUCACCCACUCACCUCCAAAAGGGGGUCCUUAAAAUGUAGCAAAAUGAGGUAUAGGGAUUGAGACAAAGACCAAAGAGCCAUUUUAGAGAGGAUAACCUCAGGAUGAUUGAGGAAAACAAAUGGAGUUAAUGUCAAAAUUCUGUAAACUCAGAUGUUUACAAAGAGAGCUAAAUGAAUAGAAUAAUAGAGACAAAAAAGAACUCUGCAUUACCACAAUGCUUCCAAAUUAUUUCUUUUUACCUUGAGGCUAUCCAAUUUUUUUUUUCUACUCCCUUGCUUCUGAGUUUACUGGUAGAUGUGAGCCAAUUCUCACACGAUUGUCUUAUUAAAACGAUUCCUCUCACAGCACAAUUGGGGGGAAAUUAAUCAAAGAACCCAGUUCUUCAAUCCAAGCUGUCACAUAACCCACAAAGCCUACAAAUGGGAAUUUCCAUUCAAGUAGUUGCAAAACAGUCUUUAAUACUUCAUAUUGUCUAUUGAUGGUCAGCUUCUUUCUUCAGUCAAACAGAACAAUCUUGUUUUCUCUAAUGAGAAGAAAAUUAAGUUAUAUCUUAAAAGAAGGGGUUUAUUGUUUGUCUUUAGACAAUAGACACUAGAUACCACAGUGUAAUGAAAUAAAUGCAAGGAGGAAGGCGAAUUUCUCAAGCUUUUCUCACACAGCUCUACUUUAGCUGGAUAUUCCCCCCGAAAGCCUGUCCCUUUGCAGAAGAGAGUUCUUUAGCCCUACAUAUGCUACUCUGUCUAAGAGAUGUACAGUGCCCAUAAAAUAGCCAAGCUCUCAGAAUCCUGAAGUAAAGAAAGCCAUUUAAUCUCCGUUAACCCAAUAUUUCCAAAAUUUAUGAGUCUACAAAGCUUUUCAAAUGCAGUUUCUACCAUAACUCUGUGGAGUUAGUGAUAUGGAAUAUGCCUGGGGCGUACUCCUAUACAGACACUGCAAGCAUGUCCUCAUGCACUCAAAGUCAAGCCCCUGAGAAAUGGAAUCACUUAGAGGUAAUCAAAGCUUUUGGUAGAAAAACAUAACUUUGAUGCUAAGAGCAUGGAAGAAAGAAAUUAUAUAGGCUGGGAACCAUGUACCACAGCUCUUAGAGAGAGUGGAGAUUAUAAAGAAUUGAAAAGAAAUCAAGAAACAGGAAACAAAAGUCUAAUAACUAAAUCUACUAGGCCAUAGAUUAACUUAAUGUUUCGAUGGUACUAGACAAAAUUUUCUAGGCUAUAGAGUAUUAAGACAAUAAUAAUUUUUACUAAACCUAUGGUACCUGGUACUUUGUAUCACUGCUGCCCAUGUGUUUUUUAGAAAUCUCCACUUCUCUGGGAUUCUAGUGGAGAGAGUAGACAGGCUCACAAAGCUUCCUGAACAUCGAAUUUCUCUUACAAAACAAUAGUUUGUCGAAUUACAUGCCAACUAAACAGAUGGAUUACAUUUCCCUCUCAAUGUGCACAAAUUAAAAAAUUAAAGAGAAAAAGUACUUGGUAAAGCCAGCUUUGUAUUUUGCUGCAUCAGAAACAUUUAGGGAAAUGGUUUGAAAUGUUUGGCUAAAGCCCAGUGCCACCAAGCCCUCCUGGCUCCAGACACCAGUCCCAUUGACCGAAAAUUUCUAUUAAGCAAACAAAUGGGUGAGUGGUUUGUUGCUGAUUUCCCCACAAGUGUGGAGCAUGAAAUGUAAUAUUCCUGGAAGGAUAAACACUGUGUGCUUCAUAUUUUUACAAAGAUGGGUAGAGACAGUUACCAGGACAGUUUAGAAGUAAUAUUAACUGAGAAAUUUUCUAAAGAGGUCACCUUUAUCUGUUAAUAGAGAAAUUGAAAAUGAAGCUCAUAGCAACAACAAAAAACACUAUAGAAAUUGGUAUAGUAAGGUCUUAAUUGCCUAAAGUUCAACAACUAUGAAUAAAAUUAUUG
rnacentral:lncRNA from 1 species